rnacentral:rRNA from 1 species
UUAAGCGACUAAGCGUACACGGUGGAUGCCCUGGCAGUCAGAGGCGAUGAAGGACGUGCUAAUCUGCGAUAAGCGUCGGUGAGGUGAUAUGAACCGUUAUAACCGGCGAUUUCCGAAUGGGGAAACCCAGUGUGUUUCGACACACUAUCAUUAACUGAAUCCAUAGGUUAAUGAGGCGAACCGGGGGAACUGAAACAUCUAAGUACCCCGAGGAAAAGAAAUCAACCGAGAUUCCCCCAGUAGCGGCGAGCGAACGGGGAGGAGCCCAGAGCCUGAAUCAGUGUGUGUGUUAGUGGAAGCGUCUGGAAAGGCGUGCGAUACAGGGUGACAGCCCCGUACACAAAAAUGCACAUAUUGUGAGCUCGAUGAGUAGGGCGGGACACGUGGUAUCCUGUCUGAAUAUGGGGGGACCAUCCUCCAAGGCUAAAUACUCCUGACUGACCGAUAGUGAACCAGUACCGUGAGGGAAAGGCGAAAAGAACCCCGGCGAGGGGAGUGAAAAAGAACCUGAAACCGUGUACGUACAAGCAGUGGGAGCCUCUUUAUGGGGUGACUGCGUACCUUUUGUAUAAUGGGUCAGCGACUUAUAUUCUGUAGCAAGGUUAACCGAAUAGGGGAGCCGAAGGGAAACCGAGUCUUAACUGGGCGUUAAGUUGCAGGGUAUAGACCCGAAACCCGGUGAUCUAGCCAUGGGCAGGUUGAAGGUUGGGUAACACUAACUGGAGGACCGAACCGACUAAUGUUGAAAAAUUAGCGGAUGACUUGUGGCUGGGGGUGAAAGGCCAAUCAAACCGGGAGAUAGCUGGUUCUCCCCGAAAGCUAUUUAGGUAGCGCCUCGUGAAUUCAUCUCCGGGGGUAGAGCACUGUUUCGGCAAGGGGGUCAUCCCGACUUACCAACCCGAUGCAAACUGCGAAUACCGGAGAAUGUUAUCACGGGAGACACACGGCGGGUGCUAACGUCCGUCGUGAAGAGGGAAACAACCCAGACCGCCAGCUAAGGUCCCAAAGUCAUGGUUAAGUGGGAAACGAUGUGGGAAGGCCCAGACAGCCAGGAUGUUGGCUUAGAAGCAGCCAUCAUUUAAAGAAAGCGUAAUAGCUCACUGGUCGAGUCGGCCUGCGCGGAAGAUGUAACGGGGCUAAACCAUGCACCGAAGCUGCGGCAGCGACACUAUGUGUUGUUGGGUAGGGGAGCGUUCUGUAAGCCUGUGAAGGUGGCCUGUGAGGGUUGCUGGAGGUAUCAGAAGUGUGAAUGCUGACAUAAGUAACGAUAAAGCGGGUGAAAAGCCCGCUCGCCGGAAGACCAAGGGUUCCUGUCCAACGUUAAUCGGGGCAGGGUGAGUCGACCCCUAAGGCGAGGCCGAAAGGCGUAGUCGAUGGGAAACAGGUUAAUAUUCCUGUACUUGGUGUUACUGCGAAGGGGGGACGGAGAAGGCUAUGUUGGCCGGGCGACGGUUGUCCCGGUUUAAGCGUGUAGGCUGGUUUUCCAGGCAAAUCCGGAAAACCAAGGCUGAGGCGUGAUGACGAGGCACUACGGUGCUGAAGCGACAAAUGCCCUGCUUCCAGGAAAAGCCUCUAAGCAUCAGGUAACAUCAAAUCGUACCCCAAACCGACACAGGUGGUCAGGUAGAGAAUACCAAGGCGCUUGAGAGAACUCGGGUGAAGGAACUAGGCAAAAUGGUGCCGUAACUUCGGGAGAAGGCACGCUGAUAUGUAGGUGAAGCGACUUGCUCGUGGAGCUGAAAUCAGUCGAAGAUACCAGCUGGCUGCAACUGUUUAUUAAAAACACAGCACUGUGCAAACACGAAAGUGGACGUAUACGGUGUGACGCCUGCCCGGUGCCGGAAGGUUAAUUGAUGGGGUUAGCGGUAACGCGAAGCUCUUGAUCGAAGCCCCGGUAAACGGCGGCCGUAACUAUAACGGUCCUAAGGUAGCGAAAUUCCUUGUCGGGUAAGUUCCGACCUGCACGAAUGGCGUAAUGAUGGCCAGGCUGUCUCCACCCGAGACUCAGUGAAAUUGAACUCGCUGUGAAGAUGCAGUGUACCCGCGGCAAGACGGAAAGACCCCGUGAACCUUUACUAUAGCUUGACACUGAACAUUGAGCCUUGAUGUGUAGGAUAGGUGGGAGGCUUUGAAGUGUGGACGCCAGUCUGCAUGGAGCCGACCUUGAAAUACCACCCUUUAAUGUUUGAUGUUCUAACGUUGGCCCGUAAUCCGGGUUGCGGACAGUGUCUGGUGGGUAGUUUGACUGGGGCGGUCUCCUCCUAAAGAGUAACGGAGGAGCACGAAGGUUGGCUAAUCCUGGUCGGACAUCAGGAGGUUAGUGCAAUGGCAUAAGCCAGCUUGACUGCGAGCGUGACGGCGCGAGCAGGUGCGAAAGCAGGUCAUAGUGAUCCGGUGGUUCUGAAUGGAAGGGCCAUCGCUCAACGGAUAAAAGGUACUCCGGGGAUAACAGGCUGAUACCGCCCAAGAGUUCAUAUCGACGGCGGUGUUUGGCACCUCGAUGUCGGCUCAUCACAUCCUGGGGCUGAAGUAGGUCCCAAGGGUAUGGCUGUUCGCCAUUUAAAGUGGUACGCGAGCUGGGUUUAGAACGUCGUGAGACAGUUCGGUCCCUAUCUGCCGUGGGCGCUGGAGAACUGAGGGGGGCUGCUCCUAGUACGAGAGGACCGGAGUGGACGCAUCACUGGUGUUCGGGUUGUCAUGCCAAUGGCACUGCCCGGUAGCUAAAUGCGGAAGAGAUAAGUGCUGAAAGCAUCUAAGCACGAAACUUGCCCCGAGAUGAGUUCUCCCUGAGACUUAGAGUCUCCUGAAGGAACGUUGAAGACGACGACGUUGAUAGGCCGGGUGUGUAAGCGCAGCGAUGCGUUGAGCUAACCGGUACUAAUGAACCGUGAGGCUUAACCUU